AGUGAUUUGCUCAGGUCACCCAACCAAUGUUUGUUGAAGGAUCUGAACUCAGGUUUUCUAGCCGCCAAGUCCAGCAUUUAAUUUAUUGUACCACUUUGUAACCAUGAUGAAAGCUAGGCAUUCUAAGAUACCAUAGGCUUUUGAGGAAGCCUAUAUGAAUUUCAUGUAAUACCAAGUUUGGGGAACAUAGACCAGUAUGGCUGGGCAAUAGAAUUAAUGAAUAUGCUAUGAAAUAGUUUGGCUCUAGACUGUGGAAGGCUUUAAAUGUCAGGCUAAAGAGAUUAUAUUUUAUCCUAGAGGAAACAGGGACUACUGAAAGAUGGAUCAGAAGAGUAACAUGGCUAGUCUUAGGAAAAUUUUUUUGACUAUUUGGGAGAGAAAUGGGAUUUUCAAUAGAGAACCAAAUAGGAGGUAUUGCAGUAGUGUGAGGAAAUGAUGCAUGUCUGAACUAGUAGAGUGAUCAUAUGAGUAAAGAAAAGGGGACAUAUGCAAGAAUACUGUGGAAGUAGUAUAGACAAAAGCAUUGCAACUAGUUGGUUAUUGGAGAGGUAAGAGUCAAGGAUGACUUCAUAGUUAUAAAUGUGGGUGUUGGAAGAAUUCUGGUUGCCCUGCAUACAAACAGGGAAGUUUAAGGAAGGCUGGACUUAGGAGGAAGUUAAUGAGUUGUUUUGGACAUUAUAAAUUGAAGAUUGUAAUGGGAUGUAUAGACGAGAUGUCCAGUCAACAAGCUUGUGAUAUGAGACUGGAAUUCAGUAGAGAUAUUAGAACUGGACAAGACUGAAGAAUUUUCUGUGCAGAAGUGCUUCUUCCUUGGUUGAACUCACCAUUCCUUAUGAGGAAAGCUCCAGGGCCCUCUGGCGACACAUUUUAUCUCAGAUCACUCUGGACUCCGCUAAGGACCUAUAAUAUGCUGACCAGAAAUUCCGAUUCAAAAAUUGAUGCAAGAACCCCUACCAGGACUUUCUGACAAUUCCCAUAGCUGCCAAACUUAUGGGUGUGGAUUUCUAAAUCACCUAAAAAAAGUUCCUGCUCCUGAGUAGAUGAUAGAACCCUCCAUGGACCUCAAAAUUCAUCUAGUAUGGAUCUAGAAGCAGCCAACAUCCAGAUGAAGCAGCUGUCCCAAGAUUCCGGAUGAGGACUAAGAACACUGUUCUAGCCUUUUUUUUUUUCUUUCUAUUUCUCUUCCCUUUUGUUAUGUGCCCAACGGCCAAGGCCCUGAUUGAAGGAUGUGUUGGCAUUUUCUCCUUCUACAUUCUUGCCCCAUCCCUUUUCUGCUUGCAAGUAAACAAUAGCAAACAAUGUCUGGGACAUAAUUUCCCCAUAGGUCUCCUCAAGGAACCAGACCUCUGAGCAAUAUCUUGUCCUGGCCCAACUUGCCUCUCAGGGCAUCUUGACCUACACCUACCUCUUCUUUAUUAGCCAGAAGGAUAGAGAUUCUUUCAAAUCCCCUCCCUUUGGCCAAAAGAGGAAAAUGUCAAGAUAGCAGGAGACAUCCUGUUUUCCAGAGCUAAGGACACAGCAAACAGGCUGUGUCCUGAACUUGGUAUAAGAACAAUUCUUUGCAGUCACCCUCUGGAUGAUCUCAGCCACAGCAAAAUUCCAAAAUUGUUCAUAUAAUUAUUGUAUUGCUUUGGCUAGCACCAGGUGUUCUCUGAGCUUGAACAAGUGCCUGCUGUAUCUGUGUUCUGGUCAUGAAGCCCUGCUUAUGAAUCAAUCUUGUUCCAUUGUGGCUGUUAUUUCACAUUGUCAGGGCUAUAGCUCACUGUGCAUCCAUUUGCAUAAAUAUUGAGAUUUGGCCACACUUAAGCAGGUUCCCCACUAAAGGAAGCUCCUGGCAUAUGUGUCCUUGCUUACAAACUGUUUCCUUCACUUUGAAAUUAAAUUUCUAUUUGAUUUCUGACUCUCCUGUCUCUAGCCUGUUCUGUUUGGCUCUGGAUACCCAUAGGUUAAAGGUGGGUUCCAUCUGGUUGACACUAGUCACUGAUAAAGGGGAAUCUCCUAAAUUAUCUAAUGAAGUACCAAUAUAAUCAGACACACAUAGCACAAAGUUCUACCUCUAUAGU